AUAUAAUUGCAAUUAAUAAUUACAUGAUUUGAUCUUGACUGGGUGUUCACAUGUGUGUGUAAGAUAUGCCUCCCUCAAACCUUAUCACAAUGUCGGCACAUUACCCAUCCAACA
ensembl:snoRNA